CAAUUUGGGUAUCUCAACUCAAAACUAAUGUUAACGUGCCUCCCACCUUAACAUUAGAUUUGAGUUGAGAUAGCCAAAAUGGGGUCCCUGGCUCACAAUUACCAGUUUCGGCACUCACAACAUCGAUAAAUGCCUUAAAUCGGAAAUAUUGAAUUUCAAAAUUGCAGCAAUUUGAUUCAGAGGGGCUAAUGCAUAGGAAUACCCAUCUGAAUGUGUGACGUCAGCGCAGAUAUCUAACGAAUUUUAAAUGUUUGACUAAAACGUUUUGUAGCACGUGGUGGUAUAUGUUGCUUUGAGCUGCCAAACUAUUGCUUCCAAGUUCCAAAUAAAGUCGCUAGGAACAGCGGAGAUCCCAAAAAGUAAACAAAAGUAAAAGUCCAAUAUCUUGAAAACCGGUGAAUAUUUUUCGGUGAAAUUUGGUAGAUAUUCGUUUUCGCUCUUUCUGAACCGAGCGACAUCACUUUUAUGCCAAUUCAUAAACUUUUUUGAAGGUGGGAGGGUCCCUUUAAUCGUAUUUGUGUAAAUUAACGUAUUCUGUCAAAUACCGGCGUCCUAUUUUUGUGCCGUCCAUUCUUAAAAUCAUCAGUUCACUUGCAGACGAUGAUUAGAAGCUUUGCUUCCAAUGGAAUGCACGAAGCAAUGACUGCAUAAUGCAUUCUUUGUUUUAAAAACAAACUGUGCAAUAAAAAUUGCACAAAACUUGUUCGAUAUCUAAUCUACCUUUGGUGGCUUCAGCUUACCUGACAGUUCAUUUAUGUAUCCACAUUGCUAGGAAGCAUAUCAUCCGUCUAAUCCAAACAUAAACUAUUCUCGUUGUUGAAACUGGUGACGCACAAGCUGACGUAACGUUAGUGGAGACUUCAUCUCAAAAAACAGCCUGCAUGGGCUAAAAUCCCGGGGGGCGCGUAUGGCUCGUAUCAUUUGCGAGGCACGCGACGGGAGCCUUGAGGAGCUUUCCAUGCUAAAGCGCCUCUAAACCCAGGUCUCACUUGGAGAUCGAUCUCACUCGGAGAUCAUGAGUCUGUUGUAGAGUGGCGUCAUUUUACGUCCAGUCCACCGAACCAGUGUGCACAAUUGCUGGCGGUGGAUACCAGACUCCCCCCACGGGUCGUCAUGUGCGAGGCAAGGUCGGGGAUAAGAUAUCACGGCAGCAAUUGAAGAUAAAAUUGAGAUUCUUUAUGUAAAUGCUAUUAGGCUGCUACAUUUGCACAAUGAGUGAGUGCAAAGCUUCUCUUUAAUUGAUAUUUUUCAUUAUUCAAGCAUACUAUUACCUAAUACGUCUGAGUCUACCUUCACUUUAUCCACGAAAAUGCUUCAAAAUCGCGUUUUUCGUCGGUAAAUAGCAUUGUAACCUUUCGUCAGUUGACACACGCUUUCACUGCCGCAUCCGGACUCUCAGUGCAUAUUUGUCUAUGCAUCAUGAGCUUAAGUAUUGUUUCCUUUUUCGUUAGAUCAAGCUUCAACUUCUAGCGCUUAAUCGCUCAUGCCAAGCAAAGUUUGCGGACUUGUUAAAGGUUAAAAGAAAAUAUAUUUCCUUCAACAGAUGUCUAUAAAAUGAGGCUACAAAUGAGCGGUUUUCUUCUGGCAAUUAUGGUACUAUAGCACGUUGCUGAUGGAAGGCGGUCAAGAAAAAGAUUAUUUGCAGUUGUGCCUCAUCGUCACUUAUUUGCCAAAUGAAAUUUUAAUUGCUGCUGUUAUCCCCGGCUAUAGUGUCUACGGUGGCGAGCUUUCUCCGCGGACCUUCAACUUCAAGACCUUCUACUUCAAGACCUUCAACUUCUAAACAACUAAAGGGAUAUUCUCGUCAUACUGCACUGUCCAUGACGUGCAUGUCGGGUCAUCGACAUGCAUGUUCAAUACCAUUAGUGCACAUGCUGCACCAGACUAUAUUUACGGACGUUGACUGUUUGCUUUAGGCACUGUUUCAAGCAUUGUACGAUGGCCGAUAACAAAAGUAUUUGUUAACGUUUUCAAGUUCCAUUCGGAGUAUCCGAUACUACGACGCAAUGUUAGUCGGAACUAACGUAUCUAGUUAAUCAUGUUAUCGCAUGAUGUUCUUGCUCAUUGGCAAACAUUAUUUCAGCAGUCGAUACGUCCUCCAAACUUCAGUAACUGUUACUAUAUAGUCCCCGUUCGUCACAAACGACCGUUGACAUUUUGUCAACCUCAAAUUCGAAUAUAUUAACCGUUUACACGCACGAGAAUAUCCCUUUAUCCAAACUAGCAAGUGUGUCUACUGUUUUCUUACUAGGCAAACAAAAGUUUGUCACAGCAUGUGCGCAGUUCACUUUACCUAUGUGCAUUCAUACUAAAAGCCAUUCGUCCACAAGCAAGUUAUUUAUUUGCGCUAUUGACGUAAGCUUUCAUGAAGGCCAAACCAAUGCUGAUUCGUCAAUGCUGAUUGUCAGCUUGAAAGUAAAGAUGAGCAAAGUGGUUCAACUGAAUCUUAUGGUUGCAGUAGGGCAUAUUAGAAGUAAGUGACAAGUAUGUGUCAGCAAUUGUUUAUGCUUCUUAACCCUAGAUACUUUUGAUUCAAUCCUUUUGGUGAUGACGUAAUGUGACAGAAAACAGUAGACACACUUCAUCUCAUCGGAAACCCUGAAUGAUUGGUAUUUGUGAGCAUGUGUGCCUGUGAGUGUGUAAGGGUGGAUGUGGGUGUGUGGGUAUGUAUGUGCGUAUGUGAGGGUGUGCGUGUCAUCUUACACGUAAUUUAGUGAAUGAGUGAAUUGGUACUAGUUUUCAAGUAAAUACGUGCAUGAGUGCGUGUAGUCAGUGGUGUAUGGAACUAGCAUUGUGCCUGCCUGCUGCCAACGAAAUAUGCAAGCCCACACAGAGAAAACAGUUUUAUUGUGCAAAACUACAUGCUGCUGGCAGGGUUUACAUGCAAGUCACAUAUUGCAGGUCUACCAUAAGCAGAGCGAUGUGACAUCUGAUAAGUACCUAACUCACAGCAACACAUACUCUGCAUGUCCAGGGAAAGUGAGUUGUGCUCGGAACAGAUUGGCCAGACAGUUUUGUCCUAUCAAAUUCAGAAUUGUUUCAUCCUCCUCACAGUUGCCAUUAACAUCAUGAGCACACAUUAUUGCUAGAUCUGAAUGCCAGCUGCCUAUUGCACCGCUGGCACGUAGUUUGAGACAAAGAUGCCGCCAGUUUUCCACCUCGCUGCUGAUACAAUGCAAUACUGCUACAAAAUGUCCGUGUUCUGUGUUUUUAGUGUUGUAUGUUUGUAUAUGAGUCUUGCGUCGUGUGAACAUUACCUACAUGAGUUAAAGUGUUCCCGCGAAAGUAGGUACUGAAUUAGCUCAAGCCAGGAUUGCGUUGCGGAUAUAUUUGUAGGCCAUACAAUGUUUUAUGGCGUCAUUUACGACAUUUCCUGUUUUUCUUGUCGUUGUAUGCACGUGAGUUGUGCCGCAUGUUGCGCUUGUAAAUCAUGUUCUCAAUGUCAUUUUCUUUUGGUACAAUUGGUCACCACUACACAUCACUCGCAUACACUCGCCCAAGCAAGUCGGAUAUCAAUCACUGUCCAGAAGUGCAUCAUGCAUUCAACCACGCAUAGAACACUGGCACACCAAGAACAUGAACUCACGCAAAAACGAGAGGGCUAUCACACGACUUCGCAUUGGACACACCGCUAUCACACACAACUACAUCAUCACAAGAAGCCCGAGACCGAAAUGCAACACCUGCAACACUUUCAUCACUGUCAAACAUCUGCUACUCACAUGCCCACAAUACCAACACCACAGGACACACAUACAAACAUACUGCAGAGACGCCAACAUCCCACUAACACUCACAACACUGCUCGGGGACUUACGCCCCGAGCUAACAACACUACUCAUCCACUAAAGACACAACACUGGGCUGAUCAAUGACCUGUAAAUCUCCUCCCCUAGAGCCAAGGAAAAAAAAGCCAAAAAAGCCAAAAAAAGAAGCAAAAAAGAAAAAAACAAUAUUCAAAACAAUGAGAAUCAAAAUAAAAGACCCCAGAAUGGCAAAAUGGCAAAAAAAACAAAAACAAAAAAAAAUAAUAGAAGGGGCAAUCCGGCUACCCGGGAGGAGAUAGCUAGGAACCCAGUCCCACCCCUCAGCCCACCCUUGCGAGCCAAGAAGACAACGGACACUUCAAGGCAACGGACGGACCAACAACGAAGACGGACGACAGAACCGGGCCCAAAUACAGGACGCUGUGGUGGCCCGUAAGCUACAAAUACCAUACCAUACCAUACCAGUGCAUCAUGCAGCAGAAUAAGCUUCAUUGAACACACUCGUCAUCAUGAACGGCAUCUAGGAGUUUCAUGAGUUUGGAUCUGUGACCAGCUGAUUUCGCAGUAUCCAAUGGCAACCGUGUAUGACCAGGCGCCGCUUGGACGCCUUGUCCAGUCACGUCUUCUGGGACUGUGUGAUGACUGCCUCUGCAUUCUCAAGUGCCAGUUUCUGCCUCCGGCCCAUUUCAUUAUCAAAGGAUGCUGUUAGCUUAACGAACAGCUCUGCUCCAAGAUUCCAAACGGUUUUACGGUACUGUAUGCCUACAAAACGUUAAUAUUUUUUGGAGGCGGUAAUACUCGGAUGAACUGACCUUUAUGGGUGCAUUACCAGUCAUCUUUACCGUCGAUACCGUUGAAGAUUUUACCGUCGAUCACGGAGCACCCAUUGCGCUGGCCGUUGCUGGCACUUUUUUAUUUGUCACUAGCUAUUAGUUAUCUGCAGAUAUACAUUAGCCACCUGUACACCCGCUUACACUAGCUCUCAUCAUCUAGUUCUACGUAUGUGUGUGUUUGUUUUAAUUGUAUUGCCGAUGAAUUCGGUAGACAUGCUCCGCCCGCAAACAUGUACCACAUGAUGCAGUUCACUGAAUGUAGCAGUUAAUCACUCGUAAAAAGCGGUCAUGUUUUCGUAUAGUGUAGGUAUGCAUCUAUGUAAGCAUGUGUUCACACUCAUGAGCGAUCCACACAUGAUAUUGCAUUUCCUGUUCAGUUAUAUUUUUAGCACUGGAACACGAUGCUCAUACACUGUGUUGUUAUCUUUCUUUUUUCGCCUGCUCCUUCCUCCAACUUGUGUCUUUGAGUAUUUCAGUCACAUGCUCAAACGUUCUUAAAUGCUCUCGCCAUCGGUUUACGGAUGCGUUGAAAACGGACAUGUGUUGACCAAAUUUAACAAUAUGCGGACAAUGGAUCGACUUCUUGAAGCCUGUGGACGUGAUACACCUUCUCCAUCACCAUCAAGAGAUCAACAUUUUCGAAGACACUUGCGUACGGCUGCAGUGUCCGGCGCAAUGCUGAAUGCGACCUGUUAUCUGUUGGAUCUACUCUGUGAGCCCGAACCCCAGUGCAAUGGCACUGUUCGACUAUAGCGCUGGACGUCGUCUACUUUUUGCUAGAGGGAAAGGUCAUCAUCCGUCCAUGAACUUCGGGCUGCUCACAGCUAUAUUGCCUUGGCAAGUUCUUUGAGCACUCAAUACUGGACUUGGGCUGCGAAAGCUAAUGACAAUUUGGGGAGCUUGAUAUUGCAAUGGCUAUGACGUGAAGGCUCAAUAUGACGAACAGCUCGACUAUUCACCAUUGUCAACGCUUAUGAUAGCUAAAUAUCAUUGUGCUUGGUGUACAUUCACGUCUCGUUUCCUUGCUCCAUUUGUACCUCACCGGUCGUCCGUCCCCACAGGCCUCGGCUGCAGCACAAGCCACAUUCAUCGGCCCAAUCAUCAGUUAUUCAUCCUGCAAGUUUUAAGUCACUUCGUUGUGACCCGGACAUCGUCAUCUUUCAACGAGUUCAAAUGAUUAUUUCAUUCAUCAUCGUCGAUCAGACUCAUCAUGUAAAGACACUUCCAUAAUGCUAGCCGCCAUCUACGUUUGUGCAGGAAGCAAAUAUCAGGUUGUUAUUAGCUGCGGGCUACUCAGUACCGACUGAACUACUGGCAGUAGUGUGCGAGCACCUAAUACUUGUAUUGUGAUACCAAAGCUAAAACGGAUGAUAGCUUAGCGCAUAGGGCCCUACCGCUUUCCACACACACACACAAACAAAACUUGACUUUGGGCAUUAGCACCAUGGCAGGAUAAACAGGCAGUUUCGCUGUUUUUCACUGCUUUCAUUGGCAGGUGUUACUGCUCAUUCCCGUUUUAUGUGAUGUUAGAACAGCCCUUCACCAUAGUCCUGUUUUCUCCUUUGCCGUUUUCCAUAGACAUCAGAUGCGACAUGCACUCCAACGAUCGGUCAGGCGCAUCACCGUCAAUCCGGUCGCCUGUUAAGCAGUUCGUAAUCACCGUCAGUCUUCGACAUCUGUCAACACACUUAUCCACAUUAUCGCCUUACUUUUGAUCUUAUCAAUAUGCAAGAAUGAGUGCAAAAUGCAUUCCAAUAUUGCAUCAGUUGAUGUUGUAUCGCAAUGACACCGCGUCCUCACCUCACAUCUGUUGUGCAUACUUGAUCACGAAUGCCAGUUAUACGCAGAUUCACAUGGUGAAGUUUUACUCCGUUGACGUUUUCUUUCCAUUCUUGUAGUCGAUCAAGAGGGAUUACAGUUGCACAUGCGGCCUUACACAUGCGUUCUUACAUGUUAGCUGAUUGAUAUGUUGGACACACUGGUUCCUGUGACUCCAAGUAGUUCUGCAUUGGUAUUGCUUCACUUUAUAUGUUCUACCCAAAGAUCGUUUCUAGUUUUGUCUUAGCUUGCAGCUGUAUGCCAUGAACAUACCGGGUACUGCGCAUCUUUAUCGUGACAUUCCUGUAGUUUCGUCACUUUCGCGGAUGAUUAGGACCAUGAGCUCAGUUGCAGAUGCGUCCAGCAGCCACCGACAUUUCUACACUUUAAAUUCCUAGUCUCGGAUCUUAUCCACAUGCCAACAUGAUUUGAACAUUUCACACGUUUAGUGAUGAAAUGAACAGGUAUCAUCUACUACAUUAUAUUUUCAUGUAAAGCACACUCCAGUCUGUGAAAAAAGAAAACCAUUAGGAGCAACAAUCAUGCCUUAGACAGUAUAGUUGCCAUAGAUAUUACGUUGUGCAGCGGGCAGGCCGGUGCACGAAAUGGCGAGUGUGAAUGCAGGAAUGCGUGUGAAAAACUGCCUAGGUGUGGAGUGGCUGGUUUGUCUUCCGUUACAUCGUAACGGGCUCUUGACGUAGCCUUUUUUUAGUAACACCAAUCAUCUUUCGAACUUGAAUUAACGUAAUUGAAAGAUGGCUAUCACAUUUGGAGCCAACUUUUUUGCUAACUGCGUCAAGGGCGGGCAGCGCGGUGCGUGGAUGCCUUUUGGUAAAGCUCACGUCCUAAUAUACUAUCCAGCCCUUACCAAGCGUGCAUCCAUGUUUCCUCCAUCCGGCUCCUCGUGCCGCUGCCUGGAAUAUUAGCCUACGGCUAAUAUACCAAGAGAUGGAAAACUUUUCGUUGGUAUGGAAUAACCGCAUGUUGUUUGAAAAGACAAACACUAUUCGUUAGAAUUGUGUUUU